rnacentral:tRNA from 1 species
GCACUUUGUUUCUGACUCUUAAUCAGCAGGUCGCGGGUUCGAAUCCCGCAGAGUGCA